AUUGAACGCUGGCGGCAUGCUUUACACAUGCAAGUCGAACGGCCGCGCGGUGGUCUUUGCCCUACUGCGUUCGAGGGGCGCAGGUGAGUGACAUAUAGCUGAACGUCCCGAGUAAUGGGGGUUACCUAAUCGAAAGAGUGCCUAAUCCCGCAAACGUUCCGAAGCAGAAAGUGGGGGAUCGAAAGACCUCGCGUUUUUCAAGUGGACAUUAACUGAUUAGCUAGUUGGUGGGGUAAAGGCCUACCAAGGCGACGAUCAGUAGCGGGUCUGAGAGGUCGAUCGGCCACACUGGAACUGAGACACGGCCCAGACUCCUACGGGAGGCAGCAGUGGGGAAUUUUGGGCAAUGGGGGAAAGCCUGAUCGAGCAACGCCGCGUGAAUGAAGAAGGCCUUCGGGUCGUAAAGCUCUUUUGUUAGGGAAGAAAAAAGAAGUACUUAUCCCACUAUUUGCUGACGGUACCUAAAGAAUAAGCACCGGCUAACUACGUG
rnacentral:rRNA from 1 species